rnacentral:rRNA from 1 species
UACGGGGGGCGCAAUCGUUGUUCGGAAUUACUGGGCGUAAAGGGCGCGUAGGCGGGUGGACAAGUCUCUCGUGAAAGCCCACGGCUCAACCGUGGAAUUGCGGGAGAUACUGUCUGUCUUGAGUCCGGGAGAGGAGGGUGGAAUUCCCAGUGUAGCGGUGAAAUGCGUAGAUAUUGGGAGGAACACCGGUGGCGAAGGCGGCUCUCUGGACCGGUACUGACGCUGAGGCGCGAAAGCUAGGGGAGAUAACGGG